GGRACUGAGRACACGGYCCAGACUCCUACSGGAGGCAGCAGUAGGGAAUYYUCCGCAAUGGACGAAAGUCUGACGGAGCAACGCCGCGUGAGUGAUGAAGGUUUUCGGAUCGUAAAGCUCUGUUGUUAGGGAAGAACAAGUGCCGUUCAAAUAGGGCGGCACCUUGACGGUACCUAACCAGAAAGCCACGGCUAACUACGUGCCAGCAGCCGCGGUAAUACGUAGGUGGCAAGCGUUGUCCGGAAUUAUUGGGCGUAAAGGGCUCGCAGGCGGUUUCUUAAGUCUGAUGUGAAAGCCCCCGGCUCAACCGGGGAGGGUCAUUGGAAACUGGGGAACUUGAGUGCAGAAGAGGAGAGUGGAAUUCCACGUGUAGCGGUGAAAUGCGUAGAGAUGUGGAGGAACACCAGUGGCGAAGGCGACUCUCUGGUCUGUAACUGACGCUGAGGAGCGAAAGCGUGGGGAGCGAACAGGAUUAGAUACCCUGGUAGUCCACGCCGUAAACGAUGAGUGCUAAGUGUUAGGGGGUUUCCGCCCCUUAGUGCUGCAGCUAACGCAUUAAGCACUCCGCCUGGGGAGUACGGUCGCAAGACUGAAACUCAAAGGAAUUGACGGGGGCCCGCACAAGCGGUGGAGCAUGUGGUUUAAUUCGAAGCAACGCGAAGAACCUUACCAGGUCUUGACAUCCUCUGACAAUCCUAGAGAUAGGACGUCCCCUUCGGGGGCAGAGUGACAGGUGGUGCAUGGYUGUCGUCAGCUCGUGUCGUGAGAUGUUGGGUUAAGUCCCGCAACGAGCGCAACCCWUGAUCUUAGUUGCCAGCAUUCAGUUGGGCACUCUAAGGUGACUGC
rnacentral:rRNA from 1 species